rnacentral:misc_RNA from 1 species
CGACUAUUCAUUCAUUUGUAAAUCUAAGAUGGAUUUGAGUAAGAUAGAAAGCCUCUUAGGUACAUUAUGUCGUUUGAUAAAGUAAAAUGCUUAUGGUACAUGACUUGUAUCGCAUCAGAUGAUACAUCAAAUGAGAUAGUUCUCAGUCAAGGUACUUUUCCAGCUUCUCAAUUUCUUCUGGGCUUCCAAUAAAAAUAGGUGUUCGCUGAUGUAUCUGCUCAGGCAUGAUUUCCAGUAUCCUUUGGUUGCCAUCUGUUGCUUUGCCACCAGCUUGUUCUAUGAUAUAGCUCAUGGGCGCACACUCGUACAAUAGCCUCAAGUUCCCAUUUUUGCUGUUCUUGUUCUUAGGAUUUCCAUAUAUCCCUCCAUACAACAACAUUCUGUGGAUUUCACCCACGAGACAACCUAUGUAACGGCCUGAGUAUGGCUUGCCAUUAGGACCUGGUUGCUUUAAGUGGUCAAGAUAACUCUGCAAUUUCUCAUCCCAGAGAUCAUAGUUUCCCUCAUUAAAAGAAUAGAUCCUUCCAGCCUUGGGUAUUUUGAUAUCUUCAUGUGUCAAAACAAAUUCUCCAUAUGCAGGGUCUAAAGUAAAUGCAUAUACUCCGUUUCCUACCGAGAGUGUGUAGACCACUGAACUUGAAUAAAGACAAUAUCCUGCUGCUACUAAAUUGCUCCCUGGCUGACAAACACUGACUAUACACUUCUCCCUGGCUUGAUCAAUCGUGGAAUCAUCAUCCAUGUCUACAAGGCAUUGCUGAUCUGGACCAUAAAUUCCAAAAAUUGAUCCAGUGGUUAAGGCAAUAUCAAUGUUAGCAGAUCCAUCAAUGGGGUCAAACACUACAAUAUAAUUUCCAGAAUAAGUUUCUUCAACUGCCACGGGUACGUCUUCUUCCUCUGAUGCUAUUAUCCCUGUCCUCCCACUUGAUCUUAGACAAUUACAGAACAACUCGUUAGAUAUAACAUCAAGUUUCUUCUGAUCUUCACCUUGGAUAUUAACAGUGCCUUGAGUUCCAG